rnacentral:tRNA from 1 species
GGCUCCAUAGUCGAGUUGGUUUAAGACACUCGCCUGUCACGCGAGAGAUCAGGGGUUCGAGUCCCCUUGGAGUCGCCA